rnacentral:tRNA from 1 species
CAUUAGGUGGCUGAAAGUAAGCAAUGGAAUUUUAAAUCAUUAAUAGUAGAGUCACGGAUGCUUCUAAUGA